rnacentral:rRNA from 1 species
AUUGAACGCUGGCGGCAUGCCUUACACAUGCAAGUCGAACGGCAGCACGGGUGCUUGCACCUGGUGGCGAGUGGCGAACGGGUGAGUAAUACAUCGGAACAUGUCCUGUAGUGGGGGAUAGCCCGGCGAAAGCCGGAUUAAUACCGCAUACGAUCUACGGAUGAAAGCGGGGGACCUUCGGGCCUCGCGCUAUAGGGUUGGCCGAUGGCUGAUUAGCUAGUUGGUGGGGUAAAGGCCUACCAAGGCGACGAUCAGUAGCUGGUCUGAGAGGACGACCAGCCACACUGGGACUGAGACACGGCCCAGACUCCUACGGGAGGCAGCAGUGGGGAAUUUUGGACAAUGGGCGAAAGCCUGAUCCAGCAAUGCCGCGUGUGUGAAGAAGGCCUUCGGGUUGUAAAGCACUUUUGUCCGGAAAGAAAUCCUUGGCUCUAAUACAGUCGGGGGAUGACGGUACCGGAAGAAUAAGCACCGGCUAACUACGUGCCAGCAGCCGCCGUAACAC